CCCAUUUUUAUCAGCAACCCUAUUCCUAAACCCAAUCCCUUUUUAUCGUCAUCCAUAUCCUAUAAACAAAAUCGAUUCCACCAUGAACAGAGAUUUUGAUGAAAUCGAUACCAACCCAAUUCGAUCUCUCGGUGUCCAGGUGGAUCUAGACUCUGUACUAACAAUGGCGUCUUGAAGAAGAAUGCUUCUCGAGAUCAUGAUCGUCGGAGAUCGAGCAGUGAAUGCUUCAGAGUUUGGCCUUGAAAGACUAUAUCUUAUUGGAAUUUGCUUUAUGUCCAAUGAGUUGGGUUGAAUCUCGUCUAUCGUAGAACCGAAUUAAUUGUUCACGCGAUUCAUACGAUUGUUCCACACUCGAUUCAAGGUAACUAAGGUGAUGGCUAGGAUGGCUUCUGCUGAUAUUAUGUGUGUUGGUUCGAAAGUUGUGCGAGAAAAGUUCUCUGGCAUCAUCAGGGUUCUUGUGUGGUGAAGAAGGAAAUUAGUUUGGAGCGACCUGGCAUAGCUGGCUGGAACUUCAAUUCGCUCGGAUAGCAAGAUUUUUGGCACUGCUGGCUGGGAUCACAGGUUAGUACAAUAUACUAGGGGUGUAUGAGUUGAAACUGCCAAACCGAAUCAAACUGGACAGUUUGGCUUCUUUUUGAGAGAGCCAGGUUCAAUCCUGUUAAAAGAAAUUUUCGAAGUGAUGGGCGUGAUUUAUGGUUUCAAGUGUUGAAUGAAAUCAAACCACCCCCAUCUUUGAUUUAACAGGUUCAUAACUACAUUUAACAGGUUCAUGUGAAAUUUGAAAUUUAUAGCGAUU